rnacentral:tRNA from 1 species
GAGGGUGGAGCUCAGUGGUAGAGCACAUACUUAGCAUGCAUGUGGUCCUGGGUUCAAACCCUAGUACCUCCA